GGGUGAUACAAGAGAUUCUGUUGGUUGUUCAGAGAUGUUGAGAGAUCAACCAGGAGACUGUGGGAGGAUGUGAGCUCUCUGAGAAGGAGAAGAAGUAUUUACAUUAGAAGUCUGAUUCACAGGUCGGGGCAAAGUGAAAAACAUCUGCACUUUUAAAAGAGAGGUCAAAAGUCCGUCUGACUCACCUGUGCUGAGUGACUUGAAUGCCAUCUAAUCUAACUUCAAGAUCAUCAGGAUACUUGCCAACAAGGUCACAGUGGACUCCAUGGAGCAACUGCCCUCAGGAGGCAACAGGUCACAGUGUUUGGACACCGCAUGAACAUGCCAAUUUCCUGUGUUGUAAUAUUUUUAUGCACUUUAAGAAGACCACCAGAAACAGCAGACUGAGGCGCAUAUUGGACAAAAAUCACUUAUCCAAGACCACGUUACUACAACCCCAGGGCACAGAAGCUAAGUCUUCCUAUUGUACUGAACUCAGUUGACUGGAAUUUGUUCAGGAAAGCAUGAAGUCAAAUGGAAGCUAGUCCGUGACUGGAUUCAUCUUUUGGUAAAAAACGAAGAGGAGACCCCAUAUCCUGGAGGUUCUUGCUUAACCCUGUCCCUAAUAAGACCUAACUUUAUGAGUCUUCUCCUUAGAGGCAGUCCUAGGGUAAGAGUGAUUAUUCCUGUGAGCCUUGUAGGUACUUUCGAAUCAAGGAAAUUAGUAGUUGAUUGCUAAUUAAUUCAGUAUUUAAUGAAUUUAAGUACCUAGGCAAUGAGGCCACAAUAGCAAAUAAGACACAGACCUGUUUUCAAAAAGUAGCCUGUAAAUAAGAUAUUUUUUUCUGCCAUGGUGGCAAAGGCAUGACUAUGGUGAUGAACAUUCAUAGGCUCACCUUCUAGCUCUGUUGUAUGUUAACUGUGUGAACUUGGGUCAAGUUAUGAAAACUCUAAGAACUCUCAAAACUCCUGAUCUGUUUUAACAUGAAAGUAAAGAUAUCUAAUUGAAUUGUUGUGAAACUUAAAUGUAAUGUGACAUCCAAAGAAUGUAGCCCAAAGUUGGAUUUCAGUAAGUGAUAAAUAGAAGUAUUUAAACAUGGGUAUGGUAUGUUCUGUAACAGAAGAAUGUCUAUGUGCUGGGGAUACCUAGAGACAGUGAAAAUUCUGUCUGGCCUGCGAAUUAUAAUAAAAUGACUCUUUAAAGUCAA
rnacentral:lncRNA from 1 species